GGGGGACGCCGCAUGCGGGACACAUUAAUUUUUUAAUAAUCAUUUAAACGUCCAAACUCAAUAACUCAGCAAAGUUCUCUUUGUUAGUUAAAAUAAAUGUAAUUGGCAUUACAAUGUCAGAAAUUUUAAAAAGUAAAGGAAUGAAAAUAAGUGGAACUACUGUGAGAGAGAGUUUCACAGUUCACAAGACCCUUUCUAGAACAUGUAUACCAGAAAGAUUUUCCCUAAAUUUCUGAACAGAUGUCCCAUUUUAAUGCAUUUAUUGCUACAUGCCCAUAGCAGUUGGACUAAAUAGCAUAUUAAACAAUUAAUACAACUGUCACCUAGGGAUGUUUCUUCCAUCA
rnacentral:misc_RNA from 1 species